CUGCAUGUUGCACCCCGGGCUUCUCCGAAAUAUAUGAUGAUGAAGAAAGCCCCAAUGCUCAUGCUAAAUUUGUGCCGUUUAGUAUUGCAGGUUCACUUAGUUCUUCAUCAGCUUAUUUGUCAAAAUAACUGCCACAUUC